GGGCCGUUAGCUCAACUGGCAGAGCAGCGGACUCUUAAUCCGCGGGUUGGGGGUUCGAGUCCUCCACGGCCCA
rnacentral:tRNA from 2 species